GAUGAACGCUGGCGGCGUGCUUAACACAUGCAAGUCGAACGGAAAGGCUCCUGCUUGCAGGGGUACUCGAGUGGCGAACGGGUGAGUAACACGUGGGUGAUCUGCCCUGCACUUCGGGAUAAGCCUGGGAAACUGGGUCUAAUACCGGAUAGGACCACAUUUUGGAUGGUGUGGUGGAAAGUUUUUCGGUGUGGGAUGAGCUCGCGGCCUAUCAGCUUGUUGGUGGGGUAAUGGCCUACCAAGGCGUCGACGGGUAGCCGGCCUGAGAGGGUGUACGGCCAAAUUGGGGCUGGAAUAGGGCCCAGUCCCCAACGGGGGGGAGCAGGGGGGAAUUUUGCAAAAUGGGCGGGCACCUGAUUGCGGCACGCCGGGGGGGGGGUGCCGGGCUUCGGGUUGUAAACCCCUUUCGGUAGGGGCGGAGCGUUUUUGGAAGGGAACCGGGAAAAGAAGCACGGGCUAACAACUG
rnacentral:rRNA from 1 species